CCUGCCCUUAGAAGCGGUACAGGCUUGGCUGUUGUGUCACAUGGAUGUCAGUAGGUGGCAGAGAGGAGAAAGGCUUUGUCUAUGCUGUGUUCUGACCUGUGAACAUCUGAAUGAAUAGGAGCCUAACAUU